rnacentral:rRNA from 1 species
UACGUAGGGUGCGAGCGUUGUCCGGAAUUAUUGGGCGUAAAGAGCUCGUAGGCGGUCUGUCGCGUCGAAUGUGAAAACCCGGGGCUCAACUCCGGGCUUGCAUUCGAUACGGGCAGGCUAGAGUUCGGUAGGGGAGUCUGGAAUUCCUGGUGUAGCGGUGAAAUGCGCAGAUAUCAGGAGGAACACCGGUGGCGAAGGCGGCAUCCUGGACUGGUCCUGACACUCAGGAGCGAAAGCGUGGGGAGCGAUCCGG